UACGGAGGGGGCUAGCGUUGUUCGGAAAUACUGGGCGUAAAGCGCACGUAGGCGGCUCAGCAAGUCAGAGGUGAAAUCCCAGGGCUCAACCCUGGAACUGCCUUUGAAACUGCUAGGCUAGAAUCUUGGAGAGGUCAGUGGAAUUCCGAGUGUAGAGGUGAAAUUCGUAGAUAUUCGGAAGAACACCAGUGGCGAAGGCGACUGACUGGACAAGUAUUGACGCUGAGGUGCGAAAGCGUGGGGAGCAAACAGG
rnacentral:rRNA from 1 species